rnacentral:rRNA from 1 species
CCUACGGGAGGCUGCAGUGGGGAAUAUUGGACAAUGGGGGGAACCCUGAUCCAGCCAUGCCGCGUGUGUGAAGAAGGCCCUCGGGUUGUAAAGCACUUUCAGUGAGGAAGAACGCCUGGUGGUUAAUACCCAUCAGGAAAGACAUCACUCACAGAAGAAGCACCGGCUAACUCCGUGCCAGCAGCCGCGGUAAUACGGAGGGUGCGAGCGUUAAUCGGAAUGACUGGGCGUAAAGCGCGCGUAGGUGGCUUGAUAAGCCGGUUGUGAAAGCCCCGGGCUCAACCUGGGAACGGCAUCCGGAACUGUCAAGCUAGAGUGCAGGAGAGGAAGGUAGAAUUCCCGGUGUAGCGGUGAAAUGCGUAGAGAUCGGGAGGAAUACCAGUGGCGAAGGCGGCCUUCUGGACUGACACUGACACUGAGGUGCGAAAGCGUGGGUAGCAAACAGGAUUAGAUACCCCAGUAGUC